GAUGUCCGCGGUAGGAGAGCGUUCUAAGGGCGUUGAAGCCAGACCGUAAGGACUGGUGGAGCGCUUAGAAGUGAGAAUGCCGGUAUGAGUAGCGAAAGAUGGGUGAGAAUCCCAUCCACCGUAUGCCUAAGGUUUCCUGAGGAAGGCUCGUCCUCUCAGGGUUAGUCGGGACCUAAGCCGAGGCCGAAAGGCGUAGGCGAUGGACAACAGGUUGAUAUUCCUGUACCACCUCUUCAUCAUUUGAGCAAUGGGGGGACGCAGGAGGAUAGGGUAAGCGCGCUGCUGGAAUAGCGCGUCCAAGCAGUUAGGCUGGGAAAUAGGCAAAUCCGUUUCCCGCAAAGGCUGAGCUGUGACGGCGAGGGAAAUAUAGUACCGAAGUUCCUGAUUCCACACUGCCA
rnacentral:rRNA from 1 species